UACGAAGGGGGCUAGCGUUGCUCGGAAUCACUGGGCGUAAAGCGCACGUAGGCGGCUUCUUAAGUCAGGGGUGAAAUCCUGGAGCUCAACUCCAGAACUGCCUUUGAUACUGGGAGGCUCGAGUCCGGGAGAGGUGAGUGGAACUGCGAGUGUAGAGGUGAAAUUCGUAGAUAUUCGCAAGAACACCAGUGGCGAAGGCGGCUCACUGGCCCGAUACUGACGCUGAGGUGCGAAAGCGUGGGGAGCAAACAGG
rnacentral:rRNA from 1 species